AAAGGGUGGUAAUGCCGGAUGCUCCAGUUGAUCGCAUGGUCUUCUGGGAAAGCUUUCGCGGUAUGGGAUGGGGUCGCGUCCUAUCAGCUUGACGGCGGGGUAACGGCCCACCGUGGCUUCGACGGGUAGCCGGCCUGAGAGGGCGACCGGCCACAUUGGGACUGAGAUACGGCCCAGACUCCUACGGGAGGCAGCAGUGGGGAAUAUUGCACAAUGGGCGCAAGCCUGAUGCAGCGACGCCGCGUGAGGGAUGGAGGCCUUCGGGUUGUAAACCUCUUUUAUCGGGGAGCAAGCGAGAGUGAGUUUACCCGUUGAAUAAGCACCGGCUAACUACGUGCCAGCAGCCGCGGUAAUACGUAGGGUGCAAGCGUUAUCCGGAAUUAUUGGGCGUAAAGGGCUCGUAGGCGGUUCGUCGCGUCCGGUGUGAAAGUCCAUCGCUUAACGGUGGAUCCGCGCCGGGUACGGGCGGGCUUGAGUGCGGUAGGGGAGACUGGAAUUCCCGGUGUAACGGUGGAAUGUGUAGAUAUCGGAAAAGAACACC
rnacentral:rRNA from 1 species